rnacentral:rRNA from 1 species
AUUGAACGCUGGCGGCAGGCCUAACACAUGCAAGUCGAACGAGUGGCGGACGGGUGAGUAAUGUCUGGGAAACUGACCGAUGGCGGGGGAUACCUACUGGAAACGGUAGCUAAUACCGCAUACCAUCGGAUGUGCCCAGAUGGGAUUAGCUAGUAGGGGGGGUAACGGCUCACCUAGGCGACGAUCCCUAUCUGGUCUGGGAGGAGGACCAGCCACACUGGAACUGAGACACGGUCCAGAGUCCUACGGGAGGCAGCAGUGGGGAAUAUUGCACAAUGGGCGCAAGCCUGAUGCAGCCAUGCCGCGUGUAUGAAGAAGGCCUUCGGGUUGUAAAGUACUUUCAGCGAUGAGGCGUUACUCGCAGAAGAAGCACCGGCUAACUCCGUGCCAGCAGCCGCGGUAAUUC